ACAUACAAAUGCCAUCACAAGGACUUUUUCCAAGGCUUAUAAUGAGGUCGGGCUAACAAGAAAAAUUGGUUUUUCUGGAGCACAAAAUCCUUGAGUCAAGAGAGCUAUUUUAAUAUUCAAAGUUCAAGCACAAACUCUCUUCUUAACCAAUCUCACUCAUUCCCAACUUCUUCCCUUUUCUUUUAUUUUACAUUGAGCUCAUCUUUCAUGCUUUUUCUUUUCUUCUUUUUCUUUUCUCAUGCUUUUUAUUUUAUUCAAGACUUGAGCUCAAUGUCUUUCUUUUGCCUUUCAAAUAUCUCAAACAACCCCAAACUUGAACCUUUUCAAUACCAUACAAUUAUUCUCAACCCAACUCAAGGUAAAUAUUUUAAAAGCACGGGUUUUCAUCCUGUUUAAGGCCAAGGUUCAAAAAGGGUAUAACACAUAGUUUUAAUCACUUUGGGAAAAAAUUUGGCUAAGUAAGGGCUUCCAAAAAUGGCCUUGAUCAUAUGACAUAAGCAUGUAAUUCAAUUAAUUAUAAAGACUCAGGCAAUAUCAUUCAUGCUUCCAUAUGAACAACACAUAUAUCAAUGACCACUUUAGAGCUCAAAACCUCACACAACUAUGCUUUCUCACACAUCAUUC
rnacentral:lncRNA from 1 species